ACAUGUCUUUUUAGUAUUUAAUAUAAAGUCUGGCCUGCCCACUGAAUAAUAUUUGAAGGGCCGCAGUAUUUUGACUGUGCAAAGGUAGCAUAAUCAUUAGUCUUUUAAUUGAAGGCUGGUAUGAAUGGUCGGAUGAGAUAUAAGCUGUGUCAAAAAAAUUAUUAUUUGAAUUUAACUUUUUAGUCAAAAGGCUAAAAUAAAUUUAAAAGACGAGAAGACCCUAUAGAGCUUUAUAUAAUAAAUAUUUAAAUUAUUAAGAUUUAUUAAAUUUAAUUUUUAUAUUGUAUUUUGUUGGGGUGACAAUAAAACUUAUAAAACUUUUAUUUUUAUUUAACAUUAAUUUAUGAUUAUAUGAUCCAAUUUUAUUGAUUAUAAAUUUAAGUUACCUUAGGGAUAACAGCGUAAUUUUUUUUGAGAGUUCUUAUCGACAAAAAAGAUUGCGACCUCGAUGUUGGAUUAAGAGUAAUUUUGGGUGUAGAAGUUCAAAAUUUAAGUCUGUUCGACUUUUGAAUUCUUACAUGAUC
rnacentral:rRNA from 1 species